rnacentral:snRNA from 1 species
GCAUGUGUGUUUGCUAAAACUGGAACAAUACAGAGAAAAUUAGUAUGACCCUUGCAUAAGGAUAAAAUACAGACUCGCAAAACAUUCCAUUAAAAA